rnacentral:misc_RNA from 1 species
UUAACUAUUAUAUAGUACUCAGACGACACUGACAUUCAGAGUUUGCGGAGCCUCUGGCGGGCGCGCGCCAGCCGGAGCCGGCGGACGGGCAGGGCCCGGCGGCCCGCCAAAGCAACACAGUAUCAAUCACAGUGGGUGGGAGAUCUACCCGGAGGGGCGAGAACUCUGUAAUGAUCCCUCCGCAGGUUCACCUACGGAGA